rnacentral:rRNA from 1 species
CUACGGGAGGCACCAGUGGGGAAUAUUGCACAAUGGGCGCAAGCCUGAUGCAGCCAUGCCGCGUGUAUGAAGAAGGCCUUCGGGUUGUAAGGUACUUUCAGCGGGGAGGAAGGGAGUAAAGUUAAUACCUUUGCUCAUUGACGUUACCCGCAGAAGAAGCACCGGCUAACUCCGUGCCAGCAGCCGCGGGAAUACGGAGGGUGCAAGCGUUAAUCGGAAUUACUGGGCGUAAAGCGCACGCAGGCGGUUUGUUAAGUCAGAUGUGAAAUCCCCGGGCUCAACCUGGGAACUGCAUCUGAUACUGGCAAGCUUGAGUCUCGUAGAGGGGGGUAGAAUUCCAGGUGUAGCGGUGAAAUGCGUAGAGAUCUGGAGGAAUACCGGUGGCGAAGGCGGCCCCCUGGACGAAGACUGACGCUCAGGUGCGAAAGCGUGGGGAGCAAACAGGAUUAGAUACCCUCGUAGUC